AAAUAGGUAAGCUAAAUACUAAGCUAUUGGGCUCAUAACCCAACAAUGGAUUUUCUCCUCUAUUUA
rnacentral:tRNA from 1 species